rnacentral:rRNA from 1 species
UACGUAGGGUGCGAGCGUUAAUCGGAAUUAUUGGGCGUAAAGGGCGCGUAGGCGGCUUGGCAAGUGGAUGGUGAAAUCCCUCGGCUUAACCGAGGAACUGCCAUCCAGACUGCUUUGCUUGAGGCCGGGAGAGGUGAGUGGAAUUCCCAGUGUAGCGGUGAAAUGCGUAGAUAUUGGGAGGAACACCAGUGGCGAAGGCGGCUCACUGGACCGGUUCUGACGCUGAUGCGCGAAAGCGUGGGGAGCAAACGGG